CAGUCGCCACGGGAAUACGAGGGGGGCAAGCGUUGUUCGGAAUUAUUGGGCGUAAAGGGUGCGUAGGCGGCUUGACAAGUCUUGUGUGAAAUCUAUGGGCUCAACCCAUAGUCUGCACGGGAAACUGUCGGGCUUGAGAAUGGGAGAGGUGAGUGGAAUUUCCGGUGUAGCGGUGAAAUGCGUAGAUAUCGGAAGGAACACCUGUGGCGAAAGCGGCUCACUGGACCAUUUCUGACGCUGAUGCACGAAAGCUAGGGGAGCAAACAGGAUUAGAUACCCCCGUAGUCCCUGUCUCUUAUAA
rnacentral:rRNA from 1 species